rnacentral:rRNA from 1 species
AUGGAAGAUUUGGUUUCAUGGUACCUUAAUAUGAUUGGAAUUUUCUCAGUGAAAUCGGCAUACCAUGAAGAGUGGGGGCAUCAUCAUGGACGAAAGUUGAGGAUGACGAACUCAUUACAAGCCUCAAGUACUAGUCCAGUCUGGCGUGCCAUUUGGAAAUUGUGUGUGCCAUCAAAAAUUAAAAUCCAUAUUUUGAGAACUUUACUAGGAGCUAUUCCUUGCCAUGGGGUUUUAGCUAAUAGACACAUGAUUACAACCUCCCAGUGUCCACUUUGUAGUUUGGACUGUGAGAGGAACAGGCAUGCCAUGUUUCUAUGCCCGAGGGUAAAGGAAAUUUGGCAAAUUCUUGGUCUACAGGAGCUGGCAAAUGAAGUUUGCACAGUAGGGAGAGAUGGAGGUUUGGUGCUGCCUUAUCUUCUUUUAUCCAAUAGUACUACAUGUCCGCUGGUGGCUGUUCAGCGGAAUGAUUUAGUAGCCACAACUAUCUGGUACACAUGUAUGAAGCACACUAAAAUCAAAAUACAUGGCUGGUCCAAGCCGCUGGAGGGCUUCAUCAAACUCAAUAUUGAUGGAACAUUUGAUCAGAACACUAGUGCAAGAGGUACAUGAGCAGUGCUACGUGAUGUGGCAGGUUUCUUUGUUGAUGCAUCCUGUAGUGAUAUACCCUUUAUGGAAGACGCGGGGAUGACAGAAGCUAGAGGACUACGAGAUGGCCUACUACUAGCGAGUGAAGUUGGAUGCAACAAAAUUUAUGUUGAGGCGGAUUGCAUGGAGGUUAUUGAGAACAUGCAGAGCAGCGGCAAUUCACUUGGACCUACAGCGGCAAUUUAUGAAGAAUGUUCUUUCUUAUAUAGUCAUUGCCCUCGGGAAGCCAAUAUGGCGGCGGAUCUUCUUGCUAAGAACUUGAAGGUAUCUAGAACAAUUGUUUGGAAAUCAAAGCCCUCGGGUUUCUUAUUAGAUGUAUUAACAAACAAUGUAUCUAUAUUCUCACAUGGAAUAUAA